rnacentral:sRNA from 1 species
GCUGAGAAUUAUCCCUAAAACCACAGGGAUAAUGACAAAACAGCGGUUUUGAGAUUUAUUCGCAAC